rnacentral:rRNA from 1 species
UACGUAGGGUGCAAGCGUUGUCCGGAAUUAUUGGGCGUAAAGAGCUUGUAGGCGGUUUGUCGCGUCUGCUGUGAAAUUUCGGGGCUCAACCCCGAACUUGCAGUGGGUACGGGCAGACUAGAGUGUGGUAGGGGAGACUGGAAUUCCUGGUGUAGCGGUGAAAUGCGCAGAUAUCAGGAGGAACACCUAUAGCGAAGGCAGCUUGCUGGGACGUUACUGACGCUAAGGCGCGAAAGCGUGGGGAGCGAACAGG